rnacentral:rRNA from 1 species
GAGUAAUACUUUAUACGCCCUUCGGGGGAAAGAUUUAUCGGAUUUGGAUCGGCCCGCGUUAGAUUAGAUAGUUGGUGGGGUAACGGCCUACCAAGUCUACGAUCUAUAGCUGGUUUUAGAGGAUGAUCAGCAACACUGGGACUGAGACACGGCCCAGACUCCUACGGGAGGCAGCAGUGGGGAAUCUUGGACAAUGGGCGCAAGCCUGAUCCAGCCAUGCCGCGUGAGUGAUGAAGGCCUUAGGGUCGUAAAGCUCUUUCGCCAGGGAUGAUAAUGACAGUACCUGGUAAAGAAACCCCGGCUAACUCCGUGCCAGCAGCCGCGGUAAUACGGAGGGGGUUAGCGUUGUUCGGAAUUACUGGGCGUAAAGCGCGCGUAGGCGGGUUGUUAAGUUAGAGGUGAAAUCCCGGGGCUCAACCCCGGAACUGCCUUUAAUACUGGCAACCUAGAGUUCGAGAGAGGUGAGUGGAAUUCCGAGUGUAGAGGUGAAAUUCGUAGAUAUUCGGAGGAACACCAGUGGCGAAGGCGGCUCACUGGCUCGAUACUGACGCUGAGGUGCGAAAGUGUGGGGAGCAAACAGGAUUAGAUACCCUGGUAGUCCACACCG